rnacentral:lncRNA from 1 species
CUCGACGUACGAGCCUAAAAUGCUAGUCAAGAUGCUCCUCGAUGCAUGAGCCUAAACUACAAGUCAAGAUGCUCCUCAAUGCACGAGCCUAAACUGCAUGUCAAAAAUGCUCCUCGAUGCACAAGCCUAAACUAGAAGCCAAGAUAUUCUUUGCUGCACGGGCUUAAACUGCAAGUCAAAAAUGCAUCUCGAUACACGAGCCUAAACUGUAAAUAAAAAAUGC